rnacentral:tRNA from 1 species
ACCUGGGUGGCUCAGUCCGUUAAGCGUCUGACUUCAGCUCAGGUCAGGACCUCACGGUUCGUGGGUUCGAGCCCCGCAUCAGGCU